rnacentral:rRNA from 1 species
AUUGAACGCUGGCGGCAUGCCUUACACAUGCAAGUCGAACGGCAGCACGGGGGCAACCCUGGUGGCGAGUGGCGAACGGGUGAGUAACAUAUCGGAACAUACCCUAGAGUGGGGGAUAACGUAGCGAAAGUUACGCUAAUACCGCAUACGAUCUAAGGAUGAAAGUGGGGGGAUCUUCGGACCUCAUGCUCAUGGAGUGGCCGAUAUCUGAUUAGCUAGUUGGUGAGGUAAAGGCUCACCAAGGCGACGAUCAGUAGCUGGUUUGAGAGAACGACCAGCCACACUGGAACUGAGACACGGUCCAGACUCCUACGGAGGCAGCAGUGGGGAAUUUUGGACAAUGGGGGCGACCCUGAUCCAGCAAUGCCGCGUGAGUGAAGAAGGCCUUCGGGUU